GGAGAGAUGGCCGAGCGGCUGAAGGCGCGCCCCUGCUAAGGGCGUAUAGGUUGAUCCCUAUCGAGGGUUCGAAUCCCUCUCUCUCCGCCA
rnacentral:tRNA from 1 species